GCUCAGGAUGAACGCUAGCUACAGGCUUAACACAUGCAAGUCGAGGGGCAUCAGGAAGAAAGCUUGCUUUCUUUGCUGGCGACCGGCGCACGGGUGAGUAACACGUAUCCAACCUGCCCUUUACUCGGGGAUAGCCUUUCGAAAGAAAGAUUAAUACCCGAUAGCAUAAUGAUUCCGCAUGGUUUCAUUAUUAAAGGAUUCCGGUAAAGGAUGGGGAUGCGUUCCAUUAGGUUGUUGGUGAGGUAACGGCCCACCAAGCCUUCGAUGGAUAGGGGUUCUGAGAGGAAGGUCCCCCACAUUGGAACUGAGACACGGUCCAAACUCCUACGGGAGGCAGCAGUGAGGAAUAUUGGUCAAUGGGCGCUAGCCUGAACCAGCCAAGUAGCGUGAAGGAUGAAGGCUCUAUGGGUCGUAAACUUCUUUUAUAUAAGAAUAAAGUGCAGUAUGUAUACUGUUUUGUAUGUAUUAUAUGAAUAAGGAUCGGCUAACUCCGUGCCAGCAGCCGCGGUAAUACGGAGGAUCCGAGCGUUAUCCGGAUUUAUUGGGUUUAAAGGGAGCGUAGGUGGACUGGUAAGUCAGUUGUGAAAGUUUGCGGCUCAACCGUAAAAUUGCAGUUGAUACUGUCAGUCUUGAGUACAGUAGAGGUGGGCGGAAUUCGUGGUGUAGCGGUGAAAUGCUUAGAUAUCACGAAGAACUCCGAUUGCGAAGGCAGCUCACUGGACUGCAACUGACACUGAUGCUCGAAAGUGUGGGUAUCAAACAGGAUUAGAUAUCCUGGUAGUCCACACAGUAAACGAUGAAUACUCGCUGUUUGCGAUAUACAGUAAGCGGCCAAGCGAAAGCAUUAAGUAUUCCACCUGGGGAGUACGCCGGCAACGGUGAAACUCAAAGGAAUUGACGGGGGCCCGCACAAGCGGAGGAACAUGUGGUUUAAUUCGAUGAUACGCGAGGAACCUUACCCGGGCUUAAAUUGCAGUGGAAUGAUGUGGAAACAUGUCAGUGAGCAAUCACCGCUGUGAAGGUGCUGCAUGGUUGUCGUCAGCUCGUGCCGUGAGGUGUCGGCUUAAGUGCCAUAACGAGCGCAACCCUUAUCUUUAGUUACUAACAGGUUAUGCUGAGGACUCUAGAGGGACUGCCGUCGUAAGAUGUGAGGAGGGUGGGGAUGACGUCAAAUCAGCACGGCCCUUACGUCCGGGGCUACACACGUGUCACAAUGGGGGGUACAGAAGGCAGCUAGCGGGUGACCGUAUGCUAAUCCCAAAAUCCUCUCUCAGUUCGGAUCGAAGUCUGCAACCCGACUUCGUGAAGCUGGAUUCGCUAGUAAUCGCGCAUCAGCCACGGCGCGGUGAAUACGUUCCCGGGCCUUGUACACACCGCCCGUCAAGCCAUGGGAGCCGGGGGUACCUGAAGUACGUAACCGCAAGGAUCGUCCUAGGGUA
rnacentral:rRNA from 1 species